CGCUGGCGGCACGCCUAAUACAUGCAAGUCGAACGAAGUAGCAAUACUUAGUGGCAGACGGGUGAGUAACAUGUAGGUAUCUUCCCUUUGGUGAGGAAUAACACGAGGAAACUUGUGCUAAUACCUCAUAAGUCUUUACGGAGAAAGCUUUAUGCGCCAAUGGAUGAGCCUGCACUUGAUUAGUUUGUUGGUGGGGUAAUGGCCUACCAAGACAAUGAUCAAUAGCUGAUUUGAGAGGAUGAUCAGCCACAUUGGGACUGAGACACGGCCCAAACUCCUACGGGAGGCAGCAGUAGGGAAUCUUGCACAAUGGGGGAAACCCUGAUGCAGCGAUGCCGCGUGAGUGAAGAAGGCCUUUGGGUUGUAAAGCUCUUUCGUCGGGGAAGAAAAUGACUGUACCCGAAUAAGAAGGUCCGGCUAACUUCGUGCCAGCAGCCGCGGUAAUACGAAGGGACCUAGCGUAGUUCGGAAUUACUGGGCUUAAAGAGUUCGUAGGUGGUUAAAAAAGUUGGUGGUGAAAUCCCAGAGCUUAACUCUGGAACUGCCAUCAAAACUUUUUAGCUAGAGUAUGAUAGAGGAAAGCAGAAUUUCUAGUGUAGAGGUGAAAUUCGUAGAUAUUAGAAAGAAUACCAAUUGCGAAGGCAGCUUUCUGGAUCAUUACUGACACUGAGGAACGAAAGCAUGGGUAGCGAAGAGGAUUAGAUACCCUCGUAGUCCAUGCCGUAAACGAUGUGUGUUAGACGUUGGAAAUUUAUUUUCAGUGUCGCAGCGAAAGCAAUAAACACACCGCCUGGGGAGUACGAC
rnacentral:rRNA from 1 species